rnacentral:rRNA from 1 species
UUACGUUAUGCUCGUAGGCGUUGCCCAAGGAUGAGGCCGCGACCGAUCAGGUUGUUGGUGAGGUAAGGGCUCACCAAGCCUUUUACCGGUGCGGGCCGUGAGAGCGGGAGCCCGGAGAUGGGCACUGAGACAAGGGCCCAGGCCCUACGGGGCGCAGCAGUCGCGAAAACUUUGCAAUACACGAAAGUGUGACAGGGCUAUCCCGAGUGUCAUCCGCUGAGGAAGGCUUUUACCCAGUCUAGAACGCUGGGGGAAUAAGGAGAGGGCAAGUCUGGUGUCAGCCGCCGCGGUAAUACCAGCUCUCCGAGUGGUGUGGAUGUUUAUUGGGCCUAAAGCAUCCGUAGCUGGCUGAGUUAGUCCCUUGUUAAAUCCACCGAAUUAAUCGUUGGAUUGCGGGGGAUACUGCUCGGCUAGGGGACGAGAGAGGCAGACGGUAUUUCCGGGGUAGGGGUGAAAUCCUAUAAUCCCGGGAAGACCACCAGUGGCGAAGGCUGUCUGCUAGAACGCGCCCGACGGUGAGGGAUGAAAGCUGGGGGAGCGAACCGGAUUAGAUACCCGGGUAGUCCCAGCUGUAAACGAUGCAGGCUAGGUGUUUGGACGGCCACGUGCCGUUCUAGUGCCGCAGGGAAGCUGUUAAGCCUGCCGCCUGGGGAGUACGAUCGCAAGAUUGAAACUUAAAGGAAUUG